UGAGGAAUAUUGGUCAAUGGGCGCGAGCCUGAACCAGCCAAGUAGCGUGCAGGACGACGGCCCUAUGGGUUGUAAACUGCUUUUAUACGGGGAUAAAGUAUGCCACGUGUGGUUUAUUGCAGGUACCGUAUGAAUAAGGACCGGCUAAUUCCGUGCCAGCAGCCGCGGUAAUACGGAAGGUCCGGGCGUUAUCCGGAUUUAUUGGGUUUAAAGGGAGCGUAGGCCGGGUUUUAAGCGUGCCGUGAAAUGUCGGGGCUCAACCUUGACACUGCGGCGCGAACUGGAGUCCUUGAGUGCGCGGAACGUAUGCGGAAUUCGUGGUGUAGCGGUGAAAUGCUUAGAUAUCACGAAGAACCCCGAUUGCGAAGGCAGCAUACGGCAGCGCUACUGACGCUGAAGCUCGAAGGCGCGGGUAUCGAACAGGAUUAGAUACC
rnacentral:rRNA from 1 species